AGAUGGGUUUCUGAAUAAAAUUUGUAGU
rnacentral:piRNA from 1 species